AAUAAGGGAGAAACUUAUCCUUCUCUGCAAUAUACACUUGCAGCCACACCAAUCACUUCUUAAAGUCGCAUAAGAAAAAUAAUGUGUUAAUCCAGGACAACAGCCUCAUCCAAUUUGAAUAUGGCAUCAUCAUAUCUUAAAUAGAUAAUGUUAUGAUUUUUAUACCACAGAAUAUAUGCCUUUUUAACUGAAUACAUCAACAAAAGUAUGCUGGUAAAUAUAUUUAUCAAGAAGACGAUUACUGGCCAUUUCAUUAAAGACUUAAAAGGCAUGUAAGUUGUUGAAGGAUCAGAAUUGUAUCUAAUCUCUCUAUUCACAUACUUCAACAGAAACCAUCUUUCUUCUAUCAUCUCUCAUCUCUCAUCUUUUCACCUUUUCCAUUCUUCUAAAAUUAUCUCUUCUGUAUUUUCUGAUUUAAGGGGUUGCUGGAAUUAUGAAUCUAGUUUGUACUCUUAUAGGUAUUGGAAAUAAUCAAAAGCCACAGAGCAAGCAGAAAGUCAAUGAAGCCUUUGGAUUGGAUUGCUAUUGCAUAUUAAGCUCCUGUUGCAGCAUCUACUGCUAUUUUUUUAAAUCUACUCAAUUGGUCAACAAAAUUUUUCGGAUGCUUCUAAAAAUAUUUAUACGUAUAAUACCUUUUACUUAAGAUUGUCCUCCAAGCUGAGAACCAAGAAACAGUUAAACAAAAAGGUUUUCUUUCUGCAUUAGUAUUUAUAAACUCAAAACUUGACACACUAGACUAAAUCUCUAUCUAACUUUCACACAAACGGAAAAAGAGGAGUCCACGCAAUUGUGUCACAAAAUCCAUAAGCAUGUCAUCACAAAAACAUGUAGAGAAUUUAGAUUAUUAAUUUUCAACAAAGAGCAUCUGAAUUUUUUCAGCAUCAAGAUCAGAACCAAACUAGAUAACAGAUAUACAAUAAGGCAAGUGGUGAAGAAAUAGAGCAAAGACACUCGGAAAAGGCAGAUUUAAGUUCGAUGAGCUCUAGAUGCUUAACCCAAAAAUAGCAGAUAUUGCAGGUUUAUAUAAUAAGAAAGAUGACACAGAAAAAGCAUGGACAAACUCACAGCUCUGUUGAAAGCAGAAACUCCAGCAUUGGCUUGCAGCCACACUCAGUCUAGUCCUGAAAUCAGACUGAAUUUGGGUAGGCGUAAAACAGGACAGCAGCCUCAUCCAAUUAUGUUCACCUACAAACAUUCAAAGUCAUACAAGUUUCUUUCUAUAAAUGAGAAAAAUACAGUAAUUUUGAGAAACAUAAAGAUAAUUCAAACUUAAAAAUAGCAUAAGAACAAAAAAAAUUUCAAUUUCAUUGGAUGUAUAGAAUUAAUUUGCCACAGAGCUUCCAGUAUAGAGCAGUAUUCUUCAAUAUCUUAUCUUAGGCCAUGCAAAAGAGACAUAACAUGUUAAUGCUAGUUGUACAAAAAGCAAGUUGUUCUUAUAAAUAUGAUAUGUGAAUAAUGUGCUACUAACACCUAGAAUAUUUUCAUAUUUUAUGACAUAAAAACAAGUACAUCAAUGUAAUUCUGAGUUCUUUACUGUCAUAACCUCAAUUCUUUGGGGAUCAUCUCUGAUACUCUGUAUCUUAAGUUACCAUUUUCUGUACCAAUUUACAAUUACACAACAAAGAUUAUCAGUCACUCCUUAUACCACCAAGGUAGAUACAAAUAAAGCAAUGAAAUAACUUUUACAACAACCUUCUCAGAUUCGAGUUUGUACCCACUAAUCCUUUAAACUAUGGUCUUUCUUUUUCUUGAUUACUCUACUUAUAUCACAAUCAUCCUGUCCAAGAAUUGUUAUAGCUAGUGACCAAAACCUAACUUCGGGCUGGCUUUACUCCAUUUAGAUUUUUAACUCCCAGGUCAUUAACUGACAACACUAAUUUUGAUGAAUCACAAGGAAGCCAUUUGGACUUCAUGCUCUUUGCUCUCAAAGAAACCAAGGUCCCGAUUCUCAAAUUCCAAAAAGUUAAGCACACCAGAAAACCAGAUUAUGUUUGCAUUGUCUCAUAGAUGUCAGUAAAACCCAAAUUCUAAAGAACUACAAACGAAUUUGAUUCGGUUCUGAAUUAAGUCAAAAAUGAAUCAAUACAAUACAGUAGUAAAAUAUUUCAUUUAUGAAUGAAACUACAGGAUUUUCAUGAUGUUUAAAAAUAAUUGUACAAUAGGAUCCAACCAACAUAAACCAGUGGCCAACCUGUUAUGAAUCUCUCACAAAACCCUGGAGCCCUUACAACUAUUUCAAGAUGUUUUCUCCAUCAGUUUUAUUGGGGUGUCAGAAUGGUUGACUUGCUUGGCUCUGCCAUACACCCAUCCAUGACCUUCUCCUGCACUAUAAAACGGGCCUCUCCAAAUGGAACGUGAUGUCCAGCUCACACUACAUAUUAAGUAAUUUAACAAGAAACUGAAUCAACUUUCUUAAAAUUGCAAAACAGUACGGACCCGAAACAAAAUCAACUAGCUCUGUAUUUUCAAGAUGCACCUGAAAUUUAUUCAUCUAUACCAUGAGAGAUUUUACCAUAAUUCCAAAUCCACACUCCACGGUUUCAACUAACAAGUAUGUGACCUCCAAAAUAGGAAGCUCAUUCUGCAACAAGAAAGAAAUAAUCAAACAUAGAAAAUGAUUUGUCGGUGAAUGUUGGUGACUGUUCAAGACAUACAAGAUCAACAUUAAGAAGGUGUUCUACUUUUCAGUCAAUUUUGCAUCUACCAAUAAAAGCUCCAUUGAUACUUUAUAUGAUCCAAUUGUUUCUUCGAAACAUGAAAAUCUUCAAGUAUGUUUAUAAUUCGUGUGCUUAUACUUAAAUUCCAGAAGCACUCACUUUUAUUUGCAAACAAUUGUUUACAAACCAUCCCCUUACUUAUAUUUGACAAUUACUGAUCUCAUUCUUUCCAAACCUAUCAUUUACUAUUAACCACUGUUGAUAAUCAACCCCAAAAUCCCAGGGAACAAAUUGAAACCCAAAAACAUACCAAGGCAAAAACGAUAUCAUUGCAACACAUACACAUACAAGAAGCAUAUAAAUAUACAGUGUGUGUGAGUAAGUACAAAAUAAAAGGAGACCCAGCAAAUAAAGACUAAAUCUUCACAAACCCAUUAAGCAAAAUCACCAAAAAGCACUUAUUGUCAAUGUCAGCCUUACAUGUCACACCACAGCAAGAUUUACAACAAGAUUUUGAUACCUGGCAUAGACUAAGAUCUCUGAGGCGCAGCUUGGCAACGAGGAAGCACGGUCACUACAGACAUUGUGUACCCAAAAGCAUAUAAUUUUAUCAUCUUGAUUUCGAUUUCAAGCAUCACAAAAUGAAACGCACUUCGCUUGUAAAUCUAUCUAGCGAAUUUCUUG
rnacentral:lncRNA from 1 species